GUGAUCUCCCUCUCUGCUGCUGAAAAGGUGAUCUCUCUCUCUGCUGCUGAAAAGGUGAUCUCUCUCUCUGCUGCUGAAAAGGUGAUCUCUCUCUCUGCUGCUGAAAAGGUGAUCUCCCUCUCUGUGCAGCUGACUUGAAACCCCCUUCUCUCUCAGUAUGAGUGAAUCCAAAGUCAUGGUCUCUCCAGCUGUCCUACACAGACCUGUCCUCAUCCUGACAGUAACCCUGUCCUCUAAAGAUGUCCCACACAGACCUGUCCUCAUCAUGACAGUCUACUCUGUCCUCUAUAGUUGUCCCACACAGACCUGUCCUCAUCCUGACAGUAACCCUGUCCUCUAAAGCUGUCCCUCACAGACUUGUCCUCAUCAUGACAGCACCCUGUCCUCUAAAGCUGUCCCACACAGACCUGUCC
rnacentral:lncRNA from 1 species